UGUUGGACCAUACAGGAUUCUAUUGGUUGGAAUUACUUUGAAAUUUUUUAAAAACUAGCAAAAUGACUUGAAUCAAUAGUAAAACAAUAAUUUAACUAAAUAUGCAUCAUAAUCUUGUAGAUGCAAGCAAAUUGCUCCAUAACAUUGAUCUUGUGCACCUAACAAUUUAAAGUUGUUUAAAACAAAUUAUUGCUAACAUAAAAUAAAAAGAUGAUAAGAAUACCUUAUUUUGCAAAAAGCUUUUGGAGCAAAACUUGGAAUUGAGCAUAUCAAUGCAAAAUAAAGUUG
rnacentral:misc_RNA from 1 species